GAUGAACGCUGGCGGCGUGCCUAAUACAUGCAAGUCGAGCGAACAGACGAGGAGCUUGCUCCUCUGACGUUAGCGGCGGACGGGUGAGUAACACGUGGAUAACCUACCUAUAAGACUGGGAUAACUUCGGGAAACCGGAGCUAAUACCGGAUAAUAUAUUGAACCGCAUGGUUCAAUAGUGAAAGACGGUUUUGCUGUCACUUAUAGAUGGAUCCGCGCCGCAUUAGCUAGUUGGUAAGGUAACGGCUUACCAAGGCAACGAUGCGUAGCCGACCUGAGAGGGGGAUCGGCCAAACUGGAACUGAGACACGGUCCAGAAUCCUACGGGAGGCAGCAGUAGGGAAUCUUCCGCAAUGGGCGAAAGCCUGACGGAGCAACGCCGCGUGAGUGAUGAAGGUCUUCGGAUCGUAAAACUCUGUUAUUAGGGAAGAACAAAUGUGUAAGUAACUAUGCACGUCUUGACGGUACCUAAUCAGAAAGCCACGGCUAACUACGUG
rnacentral:rRNA from 1 species